AAAACAGCGGGAGCUCGGGAGGUAAAACAGCGGGAGCUCGGGAGGUAAAACAGCGGGAGCUCGGGAGGUAAAAGAGCGGGAGCUCGGGAGGUAAAACAGCGGG